rnacentral:rRNA from 1 species
CAAUAGCGCAUAUUAAAGUUGUUGCAGUUAAAAAGCUCGUAGUUGGACUUCUGCGGGUGGCGGCCGGUCGUGCUCGAAACGGGCGUGAACUUGGCGUGCUGCCCGCAUCUUUGGGGAGAUUGUGCGUGGCAUUAAGUUGUCGUGCAUGGGAUUCUCAUCAUUUACUGUGAAAAAAUUAGAGUGUUUAAAGCAGGCCUUUGCCUUGAAUACAUUAGCAUGGAAUAAUAAGAUAGGACCGUUGUCUAUUUUGUUGGUUUACAGAUGUCGGUAAUGAUUAAUAGGGAUAGUUGGGGGUAUUCGUAUUCAGUUGUCAGAGGUGAAAUUCUUGGAUUUUCGGAAGACGCACGACUGCGAAAGCAUUUACCAAGGAUGUUUUCAUUAA